AGAGUUUGAUCCUGGCUCAGAUUGAACGCUGGCGGCAUGCUUUACACAUGCGAGUCGAACGGCAGCACGAGUGCUUGCACUUGGUGGCGAGUGGCGAACGGGUGAGUAAUGCAUCGGAACGUGUCUUAAAGUGGGGGAUAACGCAUCGAAAGAUGUGCUAAUACCGCAUAUACUCUGAGGAGGAAAGUAGGGGAUCGAAAGACCUUAUGCUUUGAGAGCGGCCGAUGUCUGAUUAGCUAGUUGGUAAGGUAAAGGCUUACCAAGGCGACGAUCAGUAGUUGGUCUGAGAGGACGACCAGCCACACUGGGACUGAGACACGGCCCAGACUCCUACGGGAGGCAGCAGUGGGGAAUUUUGGACAAUGGGCGAAAGCCUGAUCCAGCAAUGCCGCGUGAGUGAAGAAGGCCUUCGGGUUGUAAAGCUCUUUCAGUCGAGAAGAAAAAAUUAUGAUUAAUAAUUAUAAUUGAUGACGGUAUCGACAGAAGAAGCACCGGCUAACUACGUGCCAGCAGCCGCGGUAAUACGUAGGGUGCGAGCGUUAAUCGGAAUUACUGGGCGUAAAGGGUGCGCAGGCAGUUUUGUAAGUCAGAUGUGAAAUCCCCGGGC
rnacentral:rRNA from 1 species